rnacentral:rRNA from 1 species
UGGCUCAGAUUGAACGCUGGCGGCAGGCCUAACACAUGCAAGUCGAGCGGUAGAGAGAAGCUUGCUUCUCUUGAGAGCGGCGGACGGGUGAGUAAUACCUAGGAAUCUGCCUGAUAGUGGGGGAUAACGUUCGGAAACGGACGCUAAUACCGCAUACGUCCUACGGGAGAAAGCAGGGGACCUUCGGGCCUUGCGCUAUCAGAUGAGCCUAGGUCGGAUUAGCUAGUUGGUGAGGUAAUGGCUCACCAAGGCUACGAUCCGUAACUGGUCUGAGAGGAUGAUCAGUCACACUGGAACUGAGACACGGUCCAGACUCCUACGGGAGGCAGCAGUGGGGAAUAUUGGACAAUGGGCGAAAGCCUGAUCCAGCCAUGCCGCGUGUGUGAAGAAGGUCUUCGGAUUGUAAAGCACU